rnacentral:rRNA from 1 species
UAGGGAAUCUUCGGCAAUGGACGAAAGUCUGACCGAGCAACGCCGCGGGAGUGAAGAAGGUUUUCGGAUCGUAAAACUCUGUUGUUAGAGAAGAACAAGGACGUUAGUAACUGAACGUCCCCUGACGGUAUCUAACCAGAAAGCCACGGCUAACUACGUGCCAGCAGCCGCGGUAAUACGUAGGUGGCAAGCGUUGUCCGGAUUUAUUGGGCGUAAGGCGAGCGCAGGCGGUUUCUUAAGUCUGAUGUGAAAGCCCCCGGCUCAACCGGGGAGGGUCAUUGGAAACUGGGAGACCUGAGUGCAGAAGAGGAGAGUGGAAUUCCAUGUGUAGCGGUGAAAUGCGUGGAUAUAUGGAGGAACACCAGUGGCGAAGGCGGCUCUCUGGUCUGUAACUGACGCUGAGGCUCGAAAGCGUGGGGAGCAAACAGG